CCUACGGGCGGCAGCAGUGGGGAAUAUUGCACAAUGGGGGAAACCCUGAUGCAGCGACGCCGCGUGAGUGAAGAAGUAUUUCGGUAUGUAAAGCUCUAUCAGCAGGGAAGAAAAUGACGGUACCUGAUUAAUAAGCACCGGCUAACUACGUGCCAGCAGCCGCGGUAAUACGUAGGGGGCAAGCGUUAUCCGGAUUUACUGGGUGUAAAGGGAGCGUAGUCGGCAGCACAAGUCGGGGGGGAAAUGCCGGGGCUUAACCCCGGAACUGCUUUGGAAACUGUGCAGCUAGAGUGCAGGAGAGGUAAGGGGAAUGCCGGGGGUAGCGGUGAAAUGCGUAGAUAUUAGGAGGAACACCAGUGGCGAAGGCGGCUUACUGGACUGUAACUGACGUUGAGGCACGAAAGCGUGGGGAGCAAACAGGAUUAGAUACCCCUGUAGUC
rnacentral:rRNA from 1 species